rnacentral:rRNA from 1 species
UCUGACUGUAAUAAAGUAGCAUAAUUAGUUGUCAUUUAAUUGAUGGAGAGAAUGAAUGGUUACACGAAUUUUUCACUGUCUUAAAAAAAAUUUUUUAAAAUUGAAAUAAUAGUUAAGAUGCUAUUUAAAAUUGUAAGACGAAGAGACCCUAUAGAGCUUUACUAUAAACUUUUUUCUUAAAAAUAAUAAAAAAUUAUUAAAACUAGAAAGUUUGGUAGUUUAGUUGGGGCGACUGUUUUUUAAAAAUAACAAAAAUAAGCAAUAUAAUAAAUUUAUUUAUUGUAUAAUUAAACAAUUUAACAAUUACUAUAGUAGGCUAUAAUGACCCGUUAUUAUAAUAAAUAAUAAGUAACGAUUAAUUGAUAAAAGCUACCUUAG